AGUCCCCCACAGCCAGGAGAGGUUUCCUGGCCACAGCCAUGCUUCAAGGCCAUGGUGCCUCACCAGCCUCUUUAUUACAGCAACUGAACUAAAUACCAACAACAUUCCAGUUCCAGCCAUCACAGAAGCUUUCCAAGACACCCUGUCAUAACCAGCCCUGUCAUAGCCAAACAAGGGCUGCUGGAGUCACAUGAGAGUUUUGGUGCCCCACCCCUUUGGUUAUCCAGGAGUCCCAAACUGUCCUCAGCCCGAUUGUCCCCAUGUAGGAACUAGAUUUGUUACCUGAUAAAAAAGUCCCUGAAGGGCUUCAAUGACAUGCAGGACCUUAGGACUCUCAAAACCUCAUCUCACUGGAUCAGGUGCCAGGUCACAUGAACAAAGCAUCAGAGCAGAGUAAUUCCCCAGGUCUGCAGGACAUCUGAAGACAUUUCUGAAGACCAGAUAAGAGGAAGCUGAAAAAUUCAGCUUCAGAACCACAUGUGUCUCUGAAACAAUAAAUGUUUUGAGUGAUCAGC